GGAGAAACCAUGGCUCAAUGGUAGAACAUCUUCUUGGCACGAGGAAGGUCCCAGGUUCAAUCCGUGGCAUCUCCA
rnacentral:tRNA from 1 species